GAUGAACGCUAGCGGCAGGCUUAAUACAUGCAAGUCGAGGGGCAGCAAGGGUAGCAAUACCUGUUGGCGACCGGCAAACGGGUGCGGAACACGUACAGAACCUUCCUUUAAGCGGGGGAUAGCCCGGAGAAAUCCGGAUUAAUACCCCAUAGUAAUAUUUAAUGGCAUCAUUAGAUAUUUAAAGAUUUAUCACUUAGAGAUGGCUGUGCGGCUGAUUAGGUAGUUGGUGUGGGUAAGGCCCACCAAGCCAGCGAUCAGUAACUGGUGUGAGAGCACGACCAGUCACACGGGCACUGAGACACGGGCCCGACUCCUACGGGAGGCAGCAGUAAGGAAUAUUGGUCAAUGGACGCAAGUCUGAACCAGCCAUGCCGCGUGAAGGAUGAAGG
rnacentral:rRNA from 1 species